UACGUAGGGGGCAAGCGUUGUCCGGAUUUAUUGGGCGUAAAGAGCGUGUAGGCGGCCUGACAGGUCUGCUGUGAAAACUCGAGGCUCAACCUCGAGAUGUCGGCGGAAACCGUCUGGCUAGAGUCCGGAAGAGGAGAGUGGAAUUCCUGGUGUAGCGGUGAAAUGCGCAGAUAUCAGGAAGAACACCUAUGGCGAAGGCAGCUCUCUGGGCAACAACUGACGCUGAGGAGCGAAAGCGUGGGGAGCGAACAGG
rnacentral:rRNA from 1 species